rnacentral:rRNA from 1 species
UACGAACGGUCCAAACGUUAUUCGGAAUCACUGGGCUUAAAGCGUCCGUAGGCGGCUCGGAAAGUAGGGCGUGAAAUCCCACGGCUCAACCGUGGAAUUGCGCUCUAAACUAUCGAGCUAGAGGGAGAUAGAGGUGAGCGGAACUGAUGGUGGAGCGGUGAAAUGCGUUGAUAUCAUCAGGAACACCGGUGGCGAAGGCGGGUCUCUGGGCCGAUAUUGACGCUGAGGAGCGAAAGCGUGGGGAGCAAACAGG